GAGUUUGAUCGUGGCUCAGAUUGAACGCUGGCGGCAUGCCUUACACAUGCAAGUCGAACGGCAGCAUGAUCUAGCUUGCUAGAUUGAUGGCGAGUGGCGAACGGGUGAGUAAUACAUCGGAACGUGCCCUGUAGUGGGGGAUAACUAGUCGAAAGAUUAGCUAAUACCGCAUACGACCUGAGGGUGAAAGUGGGGGACCGCAAGGCCUCAUGCUAUAGGAGCGGCCGAUGUCUGAUUAGCUAGUUGGUGGGGUAAAGGCCCACCAAGGCGACGAUCAGUAGCUGGUCUGAGAGGACGAUCAGCCACACUGGGACUGAGACACGGCCCAGACUCCUACGGGAGGCAGCAGUGGGGAAUUUUGGACAAUGGGCGAAAGCCUGAUCCAGCAAUGCCGCGUGCGUGAAGAAGGCCUUGGCGUGUAAAGCGACUUUGU
rnacentral:rRNA from 1 species